GUGGGGAAUAUUGGACAAUGGGCGAAAGCCUGAUCCAGCAAUGCCGCGUGAGUGAUGAAGGCCUUAGGGUUGUAAAGCUCUUUUACCCGGGAAGAUAAUGACUGUACCGGGAGCAUAAGCCCCGGCUAACUCCGUGCCAGCCCCCGCGGUAAUUCGGAGGGCGCUAGCGUUGUUCGGAAUUACUGGGCGUCAAGCGCACGUAGGCGGUUUUGUAAUUUAGCGGUGAAAGCCUGGGGCUCAACCCCAGAUUUGCCUUUAAGACUGCAUAACUUGAACGGCGGAGAGGUGAGUGGAAUUCCGAGUGUAGAGGUGAAAUUCGUAGAUAUUCGGAAGAACACCAGUGGCGAAGGCGGCUCACUGGACGACUGUUGACGCUGAGGUGCGAAAGCGUGGGGAGCAAACAGGAUUAGAUACCCCAGUAGUCC
rnacentral:rRNA from 1 species